AAUCAACGCUGGCGGCGUGCCUAACACAUGCAAGUCGAGCGAGAAAGGGUAGCAAUACCUGAGUAAAGCGGCGCACGGGUGAGUAACACGUGGGUAAUCUGCCUUAGAGUGGGGAAUAACACCGGGAAACCGGUGCUAAUACCGCAUACGAUCACGAUGUCUGCGGAUGUCGUGAUGAAAGGAGCAAUUCGCUCUUGGAGGAGCCCGCGGCUGAUUAGCUAGUUGGUGAGGUAAUGGCUCACCAAGGCAACGAUCAGUAGCCGGUCUGAGAGGACGGUCGGCCACACUGGAACUGAGACACGGUCCAGACUCCUACGGGAGGCAGCAGUGGGGAAUUUUUCGCAAUGGGGGCAACCCUGACGAAGCAACGCCGCGUGGAUGAUGAAGUAUCUCGGUACGUAAAAUCCUUUCGACGGGGAAGAACCGCAAGGUUGACGGUACCGUAGAAGAAGCCCCGGCUAACUCCGUGCCAGCCGCCGCCGUAAC
rnacentral:rRNA from 1 species